rnacentral:rRNA from 2 species
UUAAGCGACUAAGCGUACACGGUGGAUGCCCUGGCAGUCAGAGGCGAUGAAGGACGUGCUAAUCUGCGAAAAGCGCCGGCGAGGUGAUAUGAACCCUUGACCCGGCGAUGUCCGAAUGGGGAAACCCAGUGCAAUCCGUUGCACUAUCGUUAACUGAAUACAUAGGUUAACGAGGCGAACCGGGGGAACUGAAACAUCUAAGUACCCCGAGGAAAAGAAAUCAACCGAGAUUCCCCCAGUAGCGGCGAGCGAACGGGGAGCAGCCCGGAGUCUGAAUCAGCUUGUGUGUUAGUGGAACGGUCUGGAAAGUCCGACGGUACAGGGUGAUAGUCCCGUACACGAAAAUGCACAUGCUGUGAACUCGAAGAGUAGGGCGGGACACGUGGUAUCCUGUCUGAAUAUGGGGGGACCAUCCUCCAAGGCUAAAUACUCCUGACUGACCGAUAGUGAACCAGUACCGUGAGGGAAAGGCGAAAAGAACCCCGGCGAGGGGAGUGAAAAAGAACCUGAAACCGUGUACGUACAAGCAGUGGGAGCCUCUUUAUGGGGUGACUGCGUACCUUUUGUAUAAUGGGUCAGCGACUUAUAUUCUGUAGCAAGGUUAACCGUAUAGGGGAGCCGAAGGGAAACCGAGUCUUAACUGGGCGUUAAGUUGCAGGGUAUAGACCCGAAACCCGGUGAUCUAGCCAUGGGCAGGUUGAAGGUUGGGUAACACUAACUGGAGGACCGAACCGACUAAUGUUGAAAAAUUAGCGGAUGACCUGUGGCUGGGGGUGAAAGGCCAAUCAAACCGGGAGAUAGCUGGUUCUCCCCGAAAGCUAUUUAGGUAGCGCCUCGUGAACUCAUCUUCGGGGGUAGAGCACUGUUUCGGCUAGGGGGCCAUCCCGGCUUACCAACCCGAUGCAAACUACGAAUACCGAAGAAUGUUAUCACGGGAGACACACGGCGGGUGCUAACGUCCGUCGUGAAGAGGGAAACAACCCAGACCGCCAGCUAAGGUCCCAAAGUCAUGGUUAAGUGGGAAACGAUGUGGGAAGGCACAGACAGCCAGGAUGUUGGCUUAGAAGCAGCCAUCAUUUAAAGAAAGCGUAAUAGCUCACUGGUCGAGUCGGCCUGCGCGGAAGAUGUAACGGGGCUAAACCAUGCACCGAAGCUGCGGCAGCGACACUAUGUGUUGUUGGGUAGGGGAGCGUUCUGUAAGCCGUUGAAGGUGUGCUGUGAGGCAUGCUGGAGGUAUCAGAAGUGCGAAUGCUGACAUAAGUAACGAUAAAGCGGGUGAAAAGCCCGCUCGCCGGAAGACCAAGGGUUCCUGUCCAACGUUAAUCGGGGCAGGGUGAGUCGACCCCUAAGGCGAGGCCGAAAGGCGUAGUCGAUGGGAAACAGGUUAAUAUUCCUGUACUUGGUGUUACUGCGAAGGGGGGACGGAGAAGGCUAUGUCAGCCGGGCGACGGUUGUCCCGGUUUAAGCAUGUAGGCGGAGGUUCCAGGUAAAUCCGGUACCUUAUUAACGCUGAGGUGUGAUGACGAGGCACUACGGUGCUGAAGUGAUAAAUGCCCUGCUUCCAGGAAAAGCCUCUAAGCAUCAGGUAACACGAAAUCGUACCCCAAACCGACACAGGUGGUCAGGUAGAGAAUACCAAGGCGCUUGAGAGAACUCGGGUGAAGGAACUAGGCAAAAUGGUGCCGUAACUUCGGGAGAAGGCACGCUGAUGUGUAGGUGAAGCCCCUGCGGGCGGAGCUGAAAUCAGUCGAAGAUACCAGCUGGCUGCAACUGUUUAUUAAAAACACAGCACUGUGCAAACACGAAAGUGGACGUAUACGGUGUGACGCCUGCCCGGUGCCGGAAGGUUAAUUGAUGGGGUUAGCGGCAACGCGAAGCUCUUGAUCGAAGCCCCGGUAAACGGCGGCCGUAACUAUAACGGUCCUAAGGUAGCGAAAUUCCUUGUCGGGUAAGUUCCGACCUGCACGAAUGGCGUAAUGAUGGCCAGGCUGUCUCCACCCGAGACUCAGUGAAAUUGAACUCGCUGUGAAGAUGCAGUGUACCCGCGGCAAGACGGAAAGACCCCGUGAACCUUUACUAUAGCUUGACACUGAACACUGGUCCUUGAUGUGUAGGAUAGGUGGGAGGCUUUGAAGCGUGGACGCCAGUCUGCGUGGAGCCAACCUUGAAAUACCACCCUUUAAUGGCUGGUGUUCUAACGUAGACCCGUAAUCCGGGUUGCGGACAGUGUCUGGUGGGUAGUUUGACUGGGGCGGUCUCCUCCCAAAGAGUAACGGAGGAGCACGAAGGUUGGCUAAUCCUGGUCGGACAUCAGGAGGUUAGUGCAAUGGCAUAAGCCAGCUUGACUGCGAGCGUGACGGCGCGAGCAGGUGCGAAAGCAGGUCAUAGUGAUCCGGUGGUUCUGAAUGGAAGGGCCAUCGCUCAACGGAUAAAAGGUACUCCGGGGAUAACAGGCUGAUACCGCCCAAGAGUUCAUAUCGACGGCGGUGUUUGGCACCUCGAUGUCGGCUCAUCACAUCCUGGGGCUGAAGUAGGUCCCAAGGGUAUGGCUGUUCGCCAUUUAAAGUGGUACGCGAGCUGGGUUUAGAACGUCGUGAGACAGUUCGGUCCCUAUCUGCCGUGGGCGCUGGAGAAUUGAGGGGGGCUGCUCCUAGUACGAGAGGACCGGAGUGGACGCAUCACUGGUGUUCGGGUUGUCAUGCCAAUGGCACUGCCCGGUAGCUAAAUGCGGAAGAGAUAAGUGCUGAAAGCAUCUAAGCACGAAACUUGCCCCGAGAUGAGUUCUCCCUGAGACUUUAAGUCUCCUGAAGGAACGUUGAAGACGACGACGUUGAUAGGUCGGGUGUGUAAGCGCAGCGAUGCGUUGAGCUAACCGAUACUAAUGAACCGUGAGGCUUAACCUU